rnacentral:rRNA from 1 species
CCCUUAGAUGUUCUGGGCCGCACGCGCGCUCCACUGAUGCAUUCAACGAGCCUAUCCUUGACCGACAGGUCCGGGUAAUCUUUGAAUCUGCAUCGUGACGGGGAUAGAUUAUUGCAAUUAUUAAUCUUCAACGAGGAAUGCCUAGUAGGCGCAAGUCAUCAGCUUGCGUCGAUUACGUCCCUGCCCUUUGUACACACCGCCCGUCGCUCCUACCGAUUGGGUGUGCUGGUGAAAUGUUCGGAUCGGCCGUUUGUCGCGGUUUCCGCGUCAUGUGGCUGAGAAGUUCAUUAAACCCUCCCACCUAGAGGAAGGAGAAGUCGUAACA